rnacentral:rRNA from 1 species
GCGGCCUAUCAGCUUGUUGGCGGGGUAAUGGCCCACCAAGGCAACGACGGGUAGCUGGUCUGAGAGGAUGGUCAGCCACACUGGGACUGAGACACGGCCCAGACUCCUACGGGAGGCAGCAGUGGGGAAUCUUGCGCAAUGGGCGAAAGCCUGACGCAGCAACGCCGCGUGCGGGAAGAGGGCUUUCGGGCUGUAAACCGCUUUCAGCAGGAACGAAAAUGACGGUACCUGCAGAAGAAGGAGCGGCCAACUAUGUGCCAGCAGCCGCGGUGAUACAUAGGCUUCAAGCGUUGUCCGGAUUCAUUGGGCGUAAAGAGUUCGUAGGCGGUCAAGUAAGUCGGGUGUGAAAAUUCUGGGCUUAACCCAGAGACGCCACCCGAUACUGCUUAACUUGAGUUCGAUAGGGGAGACUGGAAUUCCU